UGGAAGUGGGGGCGGGUCUCCAUGUAGAGGUAGCUUUGAGGAACAGAAGAGCUGCGAUAAAAAUUGCGAGGUAGAGAGCAGUGAGUGGCAGAGAGAGAAGGUGAUCGGGGCGCUCCUCUUUUGACUUACCAAGUGGCACAAAGUGAUCGUGAAGGAUGGACUAUCCCCAGGUAUCAUAGUGAAUGUGCUUGAUGCCACACAGUGCCAUCUAUUCAUACAGAGGAGAGAAUUUGCUACUGCAGGUUUUGGAGGGUGAUUCUUGUGUGUGUGAACCACAGAAGAAAUCCUUUGGAAAAAAUGGAACCAAAAGCUGUGGUUCCAGUUUCUUCUCUGCAAAAUGAGGAUAAGGAUAUUGGACUUUUGUGAGGUGGUUUGAGAGCUGUAACUGUGAAGUGCAAGCUAACACAGCAGUACUCUCCAAUGCUGAAUACUCAGCGUGAUGCUGAGGACUAUGAAGCUGCUGGCUAAAUGAUGAUGGGACUAAGGAGCAUAUGACAGUCACAAAUAAUGACAUUUGUGAUUUUACACAAAUUCAUGUGAUUUAUUCUGUUUCCUUCUAUGUUUUUUUCCCAUGGGGCAAAAUCAGGCAAUUGCUUUUUUCCAGUGCUGAGGUAUAAGCUACAAAGCUGAUUCUGAUGAAAAAUUAGCUUAUGAUCUCUUGAUGAAUGAUCAAAACAGGUCUGUCGGCACCGCUUGUCUCCUUUAGCUACUGCACAUAACAGUACAGUUCACAUGGUACCGCCUAGUAGCUCUGCUUUUUCCCAGAAGCAUCAGAUCUCCUGUGUGUCAAGGCCCCUUCUGUGUGAGUGUGAAUGGAUUCUAUAGGUGUUUAUGGAUGCAGGGCUAGAAAUAGACACAAGAAGAGAGCAAGUCAGAGGGGAAAACUGUGUGCUGAGAGGUCAUGUCUGAGAGCCUCCCAAAACCUGACAAGCUCCAGAGGUUAGUAAUGCUGUUGAAUCCACAAGCAUGGAUAUAUUAGCAUGUGAGUCAGCCAAAUCUGUUGAAGGUCACCAGCAAACACCAGGAUCAACAGUGCGAUACACAGCUCACACUGCAUCUGAGAUAGUGGUGGCUGCUGUCUGCAGACAGGAACUACAGGUGUUAUACACCAGUUGAAACAAGGGACUGCUUGAAGCUCUUUCUGAACACCUGCCUAGAAGCCCUUGUUGUAUCAGUAUAAUCUUCUGCUUCUGAUGAAAUGACUGGGGUUGGCCUCCCAGCUGUUGCUCCAAAUUGCUAACUAGAAGUUAGUGUGUUGGUGUGCAUAUGGCAUAAGAGUGAACUGUGUGAAGUGGAUGUAUGGUGUGGAGUAAAAUUAACAGCUUGAUUUUAUUAUUAAUAACAGUUUUAUUAAGAAAAAGUGUUCUUGUAAAUAUUGGUUGUCAUCUCUGUCUUUCUCCAACUUGAUACUCUGUCAGGGAAAGGAAAAUUUGCAACAUAUGCACUGAGUAACCCAGGCACACAGAUAAAUCUGUGUGAGGUCCUCAAUGAUUCCUGGCAGGUAAUGAGGCCAGAACCAGCCUGGAGGACCAGUCAGAGAACUUCUGCUGGCACAUACAGGGUCUGUAUAUCAUGGAUGGGUCCUACCUGUAAUUCUGUUCAUAAACAUACAUCUCAUUCAUGAAAUUAAUUGUAUAGGAUUACUUAGACUAGGAAGGUUAUUUUAAUGGGUGUCACAUUUCUUAGGUGCUAAGAUGUGUGUGGGGGGGUGUCUGUUUGGUUUGGCAAGCUGGAUUUUGGAUAAAAAUUAUAGCUUAUUAAAAAUUUACAAUAAAGUGUUAGAAUUUUAUUAAAGUAGCUGAAAUAUGUUAGGCACAGGGUUUACAUUUUAAAACUUUUAAAGACUUUAUUAAAAUACACACAUUUUAUUAGUAUUUUGAAGUUUGAUCAUUGGAUACAUAAAUUGUGAAGACCAGAAGCAAGAAUGAUGUACUGGAGGACAGAAAGUUUUAUAUGGAAGGAGAAAACAUAUCAACAAGUGAAAAUAGUGUUGCAAUAUAUAUGGGAAUAAACUGGAAGACCUAGGCCUAAGUUGGCUACAUUUUGGCAGCGGUAGAUACCAUUCUCUUCUCUCUGGCUCUUACAUGUGACAGGAAACAGGAAUAUUAGUUUCCUUCUUUCUCAGUUCUGAGGUGAGUUUCAACUGUCAUUUAGUUAAUGCAUAUGAAGAAAAUAAUCCCUCUCCUCUUUCUAGCUAACAAUAGCAAAACUAAUUAAGGCAUAAUUUUUUGUACAACAAAAGCUGAAAAUACUCAACAAUGGAAAUACAAGUUGUUGUUCUGUUAUGAAUACUGGAAAUAUGCUUGUCAUGAAUAAUGAUGUUUUAUAGAAAUUAAAUACUAUUAUGUAAAUUUGUGUUUGUCAGAGCUGAAAAAUGGAGAGUAAGUACCAACUAUGCUGUCAGUGUUGUGUAGACCUUUGAUUAUAAAAAGCUGAAUUCUGUAGAGCACAGCAGUGCACAGGAGACAGGCUGGUUGGAGAAAAAACUCAAGACUUUUAUUAGCUGUUCAUUCAAAGAGGUGUUCAGCCUGCUGGGAAUAUCUAUUUCACCCUAGGCAUGCUUUUACUAUGUGCUUCACAUAGGGCGCAGUUUUAGCAGUCUCCUGAAAAUUUUAAAUCUGCAUGAAACAUGGCACAAGCUUGCAAUGACAGUAGGAUGGCUUC